rnacentral:lncRNA from 1 species
ACAGAUGAGGUCUCACUAUAUUGCCCAGGCUGGUCUUGAACUCCCAGGCUCAAGCAAUUCUCCUACCUCAGCCUCCCAGUGAUGACCAAUGAUGCUGAGCACGUUUUCUUAUACCUGUUUGGCAUUUGUGUGUCUUAUUUUGAGAAGCGUCUAUUCAAAUCUUCUGCCCUCUUUUUGAUCAGAUUAUUAGAUUUUUUUUCUCAUAAUCACUUUUUGAAGCAAGAUUUCAAGUUUGAAUCCUGCUGGGGAGGAUAGAGUGAAUUUAUAUUAACUGUAUUAAUUUAUGUAUAUUUCAUAUAUUUGUAUAUAUUUCAGCUCUAGCAGUGAGAAUGGCAUCCUGGCAGGCCGUUUUGGGAGCUAAACAUAUAGGAGAAGUGGGCUGGGUUGCUAGAGGGUGAAUUACCAGACAUGUGGUGUCAGGGCCUGCCACACCCACUAUCCAUCCUAAACAAGGCAGUCUUAGGCCAACCCCAUGAUCCUUCUUCAGUGUUGGCACCCCAAGCCCUCAGAGCAUCAGGCAGUAGCAACGGGAACAAAAGUGCUGCCUCUGCAGAGAGAAGCCAAGAAGUUGGUCUGGGGCUAAGACCAUGGUGAAAUGAUGCACAGGUGACGAGAAAGCAGAAACUACACAGUAGAAAGGGGACAUGCAAAGUAGGGGGAAUGGGCAGUGCUGACGAAGUGAGAGGAGCAGAGAGCGGACAGAGCGGCAGAGACAGAUCAGGAGACAGGCUCUGGAGCUGCCUUGGCCUCUGACACUGGUCUAGUAAGUUCCAGUCCAUGUGCAAGACUACAGGAAACCUAGGAGAAACUUCAUUUUUUUGUUUUUUGAGAUGGAGUCUCACUCUGUCACCCGGGCUGGAGUGCAGUGGCACGAUCUCGGCUCACUGCAACCUCCGUCUCCCAGGUUCAAGUGAUUCUCCUGCCUCAGCCUCCCGAGUAGCUGGGAUUACAGGCAUGCACCAUGAUGCCUGGCUAAUAUUUUUUGUUGUUGUUUAUUUAUUUUUGUAGAGAUGGGGGGUCUCACUGUGUUGCCCAGGCUGGUCUUGAACUCCUGGGCUCAAGUGAUGCUCCAGCCUCAGCCUCCCAAAUAGUUAGGAUUACAGGCAUGAGCCACUGUGCCUGGCCAAAACCUUGCUUUUCUGACAGAUCUGAUUCACCCUAGCUACAGAUUCUAUAGCACCUGUUUAUUUUUAUGCUUCUCAUAGUCUGGCAUCACUGGCUGUUGAUA